rnacentral:hammerhead_ribozyme from 1 species
AUCCAGCUAACGUGUCUCGAAUUGGACGAAAUGCGCGUCAUGGAU